rnacentral:rRNA from 1 species
UACGUAGGGGGCAAGCGUUGUCCGGAAUCAUUGGGCGUAAAGAGCGCGUAGGCGGCCCUGUAAGUCCGCUGUGAAAGUCAAGGGCUCAACCCUUGGAUGCCGGUGGAUACUGCAGGGCUAGAGUCCGGAAGAGGCGAGUGGAAUUCCUGGUGUAGCGGUGAAAUGCGCAGAUAUCAGGAGGAACACCGAUGGCGAAGGCAGCUCGCUGGGACGGUGCUGACGCUGAGGCGCGAAAGCGUGGGGAGCAAACAGG